CCUACGGGAGGCAGCAGUGGGGGAUAUUGCACAAUGGGGGAAACCCUGAUGCAGCGACGCCGCGUGUGGGAAGACGGUCCUCCGGAUUGUAAACCACUGUCCCCAGGGACGAAGAUGACGGUACCUGGGGAGGAAGCUCCGGCUAACUACGUGCCAGCAGCCGCGGUAAUACGUAGGGAGCGAGCGUGGUCCGGAAUUACUGGGUGUAAAGGGAGCGUAGGCGGGACUGCAAGUUGGGUGUCAAAUCUACCGGCUCAACCGGUAGCCGCACUCAAAACUGCAGUUCUUGAGUGAAGUAGAGGCAGGCGGAAUGCCUAGUGUAGCGGUGAAAUGCGUAGAUAUUAGGAGGAACACCAGUGGCGAAGGCGGCCUGCUGGGCUUUUACUGACGCUGAGGCUCGAAAGUGUGGGUAGCAAACAGGAUUAGAUACCCCUGUAGUC
rnacentral:rRNA from 1 species